ensembl:lncRNA
GCAGUCUUGUCAUGGUCAGAGUUGCCCACUCAUAUUUAACUAAUUCAAAUACAAUUACUCCAUUUAAAUGCUUAUGUUCUAAUAAAAGGCAUCGUUUAAUACUUCUGCCAUGACAACCCAAAUAAAUCAAUGAGAGGGAAACGGGAAGAUUAGUCAUCAGGCAAGGUUUACUGUUCAUUUACCAUGCCUUGAUAACAGUAAGCUUAACAAAAGAAAAAUGUUGGCGACGAGAACAGGUGUUCUGUCAAAACAUCCUACCGUAGCGUAAAUUUAUAGUCUUGUCUAUCAAUCCGUGCUAACUUAUCAGAAUAUGCUACCUUACGUGGUUAAUGGCUCCGUUGUAUAGGUAGCGUGUUCAGAUGGCCCAAUCACACUAUUAAAACAUGCUUCCUGCUGGGAUUUAUAUAGGUAGCGUGUUCAGAUGGCCCAAUCACACUAUUAAAACAUGCUUCC